UACGUAGGGUGCGAGCGUUAAUCGGAAUUACUGGGCGUAAAGGGUGCGCAGGUGGGUCCAUUUAAGUCUGAUGUGAAAGCCCACGGCUCAACCGUGGAGGGUCAUUGGAAACUGGGGGACUUGAGUGCAGGAGAGAAAAGUGGAAUUCCACGUGGUAGCGGAUUGAAUGACGUAGAGAAUGUGGAGGAACACCAGUGGCGAAGGCGACUUUUG
rnacentral:rRNA from 1 species